UCCUCCCUGGGGCUUAACAGGCAUUCCUUGAAUCCUGCCCUGGGCAGUUAGUCCUUCCCUUUUUUGUGAACUCAUGGCUGUUUUCAUUGUCUGCACACAGAGCAGUGGUCUAGGGAGUGAAGGGUUUGGGAAUAGACCUUUUCCUUUCUUAGCUUGCUAUAGGGAAUGUGUUUCAACUAAGUAAAGUGGAAAAACAGAAGUACAAAGCAAGGGUCCCAGACCUGAGGGCUCUGUAGCUCUGGAAUCUGGAUUUUAUUCCAGAUUCAACACUUAGCAGGGAGCUGAAGUGGUCAGCCCUGUGCUUUACAAGGCUGAUUGGGCAGCACCCAUAGUAGAAUUGUCAGCAUAAAGUAAUUGAAAGGAUUAGAAUCCAGGGUUUUUAAAGUUGUUUUUAUUUGCUUUUAAGGUUACUUCUCUUUAAUGGGUCUCACUUUAUUGACCAGGCUGGUUUCGAACUCCUGGGUUCAAGUGAUUUCUCCUGCCUCAGCUUCCGAAAGUGCUGGGAUUACAGGCGUGAGCCACUGCACCCAGCCCAGAAUCCAGUUUUAAAGAGUUUAUUCAAGCCAAAAGCUGGGAGUGACCAUCUGAGAAACACAGACUCCAGGGAAAUAUUUGGAGCCAGGGCUCUGAACUUAAAGUCUUGCUGACAUAGGCAGAAAACAAAGAAAUUUAGUAACCUUGUAGAACAUUUUCUUGUAUAACAUUUCUUGUUUAACUUUGUUGUUUAACAUUUUCUAUGCGAGGCUGGUUUAUGAGUUACAAGGUACAAUUAAUUAGAGGUUGUUCCCCUGCCCCCACCUUGUUUUCUUUUCUCUACAGCUUGUUUUCAUUUCCUUUCCAAUUUAAGAAUGUGUUUAACAUUCUACCCCAGACAAUGUGAUGGUCAUGAAGUCUCUGGAGAGAGGAAAGAGGGAGUUAAUCUAUAUUGAAGAUCAAAUCAACAGUGAAGAGGAAAGGGGUCUUCCCUGGAGCCCUUCAGUCAUAUACAACAUUUUACACAACAAUAAUGGAUCAGCCUAAGGACGUAUGUGUGGGAGAAGAUUCCAGAAGGUCUUGAGACACUCCAGAUGAAGGUUGGUGUGGGGCUGUGCUGCUGGAGCACCAGAGAGUGAAAAGAGAUGCACAACAGGUGGAGGUGACCGAAAGCGAAAGUGGAAGUCAUGAUGGGUGAUCACUAGUGCUGUCCGGUGAAAUCAAUCACAAAGUUAUUUUAUUCUUAUGAGCUUGUGGGCUCCAUCUACCCAGCCUCUGGGCAAAUGCUCAUCUGACUUCCAUAGACACACAGCAAGCAGACAACUACACAAAGAAGAAGAGGGAGAAUAUUUACCAGCCAUGGAACAUCUGCUGUGUGCUUAUAUCUCAUAUGCAUUGUCUCUAAUUAUCAAAAGAAGGCAUGUCCUUAACCUUGGCACAACAAAUCUCUAAAUCGAUUGAGACCUGUCUCAGAUACUUUUUGGUUUACAAGAUGGAGGCUGAAAUUAAAGAGAAAGAUCCUCACUCAAUUCACAGAGGAGCAGAGUGGGAAAAGGACUUAGUGAGAUUGCCCUGAACACAGGAGAAAACCGAAGCACAGAGAGUGGAUGGCCAAGUCCAAGGUCACACGGCCAAGUCCAAGGUCACACAGCCAAGUCCAUCCGAGCAGCACAGGAUCCAGGUUUCCUGCCCCAGUGCUCUUUUUGCAUCCGGUUCCACCUGUUUUCAUACUAUCUCGGUUCACCUUCCAGCUACACGCCUGCAAUCAGAAACAGGAAGUCUGAGAGUGUGUGUGGAGCCAAAGAGGGGACAGCAGUGGUGUGGUCAGUUUCAUGCCUUGUGAUUAUUUAUUUUCUCUCUUUCUUUUUGGACUUUAAUCUUAAGUGGACAGCAAUUUGAAAUAAUACCAGCACCUUGUUGGAUUGUGCUGUUUGUGGGGGUGACACAGAGUGUUUUAAAAGGCAGAGCAGGUUAAGAACUUUUCAUAAAGAAUCAAUUGAGAAAAAAAUAAAAUAGAAACAAAAUGUCCC